CACUCCUGCGGGAGGCAGCAGUGGGGAAUAUUGCACAAUGGGCGCAAGCCUGAUGCAGCGACGCCGCGUGGGGGAUGAAGGCCUUCGGGUUGUAAACUCCUUUCGCUAGGGACGAAGCUUUUUUGUGACGGUACCUAGAUAAGAAGCACCGGCUAACUACGUGCCAGCAGCCGCGGUAAUACGUAGGGUGCGAGCGUUGUCCGUAAUUACUGGGCGUAAAGGGCUCGUAGGUGGUUUGUCGCGUCGUCUGUGAAAUUCUGGGGCUUAACUCCGGGCGUGCAGGCGAUACGGGCAUAACUUGAGUGCUGUAGGGGUAACUGGAAUUCCUGGUGUAGCGGUGAAAUGCGCAGAUAUCAGGAGGAACACCGAUGGCGAAGGCAGGUUACUGGGCAGUUACUGACGCUGAGGAGCGAAAGCAUGGGUAGCGAACAGGAUUAGAAACCCUGGUAGUCC
rnacentral:rRNA from 1 species